UACGUAGGGGCUAGCGUUAUCCGGAAUUACUGGGCGUAAAGGGUGCGUAGGCGGUCUUUCAAGCCAGAAGUGAAAGGCUACGGCUCAACCGUAGUAAGCUUUUGGAACUGUAAGACUUGAGUGCAGGAGAGGAGAGUAGAAUUCCUAGUGUAGCGGUGAAAUGCGUAGAUAUUAGGAGGAAUACCAGUAGCGAAGGCGGCUCUCUGGACUGUAACUGACGCUGAGGCACGAAAGCGUGGGGAGCGAACAGGAUUAGAUACCCUGGUAGUCCCU
rnacentral:rRNA from 1 species